UACGUAGGGUGCGAGCGUUAAUCGGAAUUACUGGGCGUAAAGGGUGCGCAGGCGGUCUCGUAAGCUGGGUGUGAAAGCCCCGGGCUUAACCUGGGAAUGGCAUUCAGGACUGCGAGGCUUUGAGUGUGGCAGAGGGAGGUGGAAUUCCACGUGUAGCAGUGAAAUGCGUAGAGAUGUGGAGGAACACCGAUGGCGAAGGCAGCCUCCUGGGCCAGCACUGACGCUCAUGCACGAAAGCGUGGGGAUCAAACAGG
rnacentral:rRNA from 1 species